CCUACGGGCGGCACCAGUGGGGUAUAUUGCACAAUGGGCGCAAGCCUGAUGCUGCCAUGCCGCGUGUAUGAAGAAGGCCUUAGGGUUGUAAAGUACUUUCAGUUGGGAGGAAGGCGUUGAUGCUAAUAUCAUCAACGAUUGACGUUACCAACAGAAGAAGCACCGGCUAACUCCGUGCCAGCAGCCGCGGUAAUACGGAGGGUGCAAGCGAUAAUCGGAAUUACUGGGCGUAAAGCGCACGCAGGCGGUUGAUUAAGUUAGAUGUGAAAUCCCCGGGCUUAACCUGGGAAUGGCAUCUAAGACUGGUCAGCUAGAGUCUUGUAGAGGGGGGUAGAAUUCCAUGUGUAGCGGUGAAAUGCGUAGAGAUGUGGAGGAAUACCGGUGGAGAAGGCGGCCCCCUGGACAAAGACUGACGCUCAGGUGUGAAAGCGUGGGGAGCAAACAGGAUUAGAUACCCCUGUAGUC
rnacentral:rRNA from 1 species